AUGUUGAAACACCGGUUCCCUUACACUCACCAAAGUUAAGCAAUGACAAGCCUGGUUAGUACCUAGAUGGGUGACCAUUUGGGAAUACCAGGUGCU